rnacentral:rRNA from 1 species
GUGGGGAAUAUUGGACAAUGGGCGAAAGCCUGAUCCAGCCAUGCCGCGUGUGUGAAGAAGGUCUUCGGAUUGUAAAGCACUUUAAGUUGGGAGGAAGGGCAGUAAGUUAAUACCUUGCUGUUUUGACGUUACCGACAGAAUAAGCACCGGCUAACUUCGUGCCAGCAGCCGCGGUAAUACGAAGGGUGCAAGCGUUAAUCGGAAUUACUGGGCGUAAAGCGCGCGUAGGUGGUUUUGUAAGUUGGAGGUGAAAUCACCGGGCUCAACCUGGGAACUGCCUCCAAAACUGCAUGACUAGAGUACGGUAGAGGGUAGUGGAAUUUCCUGUGUAGCGGUGAAAUGCGUAGAUAUAGGAAGGAACACCAGUGGCGAAGGCGACUACCUGGACUGAUACUGACACUGAGGUGCGAAAGCGUGGGGAGCAAACAGGAUUAGAAACCCCUGUAGUCC